CAUUAUCGUCCAGCUUUCUGAAGGUCAGGCACUGUCUUUACAUUCUGAAUCUUGGAGAAAAUUUCAAUCAAACAGAACAGAUUUUACACAGAAUUAUAUAAUUGUUUCGCUUGUUAUUUGCUUUCACAAUCCAUUGCAGCAGUUUUUAAGGUUAUUUUUCUCAUCUGUAGCAAGUGUUGCAGUUCCUUCUUGGAGAUUUCUUUUGUCUACUUCCAUUUUAUCCUAAUUUAGACGAAAAAUUCUUUAAUGUACUGUUUUGUCAAUGUAUACCUGUAGCUGUGCUCAAAUUGGAUGUUAUACAGUGCUGAGGAAAAGCUUGCAAUUGGAUUCCAAAAUGACAAUGUAUGUUAAAGUUCCAUCAGCAGUAAGUUUUUUUUUUUUUUUCUUUUUGUCAGAGGGUGGGGAGAAAUAACUUUGGAGAGAACGAGGCUUCAGGAGCAAAAAAUCCACAGUUAGGAAAGGAAGAGACAGCCCUGGCAAAGCGCGUGAGGUCAAGGGCAACAGGAAUGCAGGGCUUCUCCAUCUCAGGCAGUCCUCCAAGCUUAAGAAACAGGGCAGUUGGGCUGCCUUAGAUUUGCCAGUUUCUCUCCUGAAAGCUACGCUGGGCCCUUAUUUCCCAAGGACCACCCAUUCAGCAAUCUCAAAAACCUUAUGUGCAGGGGGACUGGACAGGAACUGGGUUUAGGAUGCAAAGUGCACAGCUUCUGUCCUUGCAUGCUCCUGGUUUUUAAAACAGGGUAUCUUGGUGUCAGCACUGUGGCCCAGAGGGUCUGCAGCACCAGUAUCCAAUAUGGGUGCUAGUUUGAGUCCCAGCUGCUCUGAUUCUGGUCCUGCUUCUUGCUAAUGCACCUGGGAAAGCAGCACCCAAGUGCUGCACCCAAGUGGGAGACCUGGAGGAAGCUCCUGGCUCCUGGCUUCAGCUCAGCUCAGCUCUGGCCAUUGUGGCCAUUUGGAGAAUGAACUAGCAGAUGGAAGACCUCUCUCUGUGUCUUUCAGAUAAUAAAUUAAAAAAAAAAAAAAAGCCA
rnacentral:lncRNA from 1 species